CCGAAUACCUAUACUACCUAUCAGAGUUGUUAAAAAUACUUUUUUUAAUGGAACUAGAUACCGAUACAGAUACAUCGGUUCGCUUUUGUUCUCGAAUAUAAACCCUUAGAGCACAAAAUACAUUAAGAAAGGCCCUUUAAUUACACUGUGUGACACGAAAAAUGGGAGAAGAAAAUAAAAACAAGUUUUGGUGCA